AUAGGGGGGCUUGGAUUAGGGCAUGCAAGUCGUACGCCCCGCAAGGGGCGUGGCGGAAGGGUGAGUAGUGCGACGGCAACCCACCUCCGGGCCGGGGACAGCCGCGGGAAACUGCGGGUAAUACCCGGCGUCGCGUCCAGGGGGCAUCCCCUGGGGGUGAAAGGUGCGAUUCCGCCCGGAGACGGGCCGUCGUGGCAUCAGCUAGUUGGUGGGGUGACGGCCCACCAAGGCGAGGACGCCUACCGGGCGUGCGAGCGUGGCCCGGCACACUGGGACUGAGACACUGCCCAGACACCUACGGGUGGCUGCAGUCGAGAAUCUUCGGCAAUGGGCGCAAGCCUGACCGAGCGACGCCGCGUGGGGGACGAAGGCCUUCGGGUUGUAAACCCCUGUCGGGGGGGAGCAAGGUGGCGCGAAGAGCGUCGCUUGAGCGACCCCUGGAGGAAGCACGGGCUAAGUUCGUGCCAGCAGCCGCGGUAAGACGAACCGUGCGAACGUUAUUCGGAAUCACUGGGCCUAAAGCGCGUGCAGGCGGCCCGGCGCGUCCCCAUGCUGAAAGCCCACGGCUCAACCGUGGGACGGGCGGGGAAACGGCCGGGCUCGAGGGGGGUAGGGGGAUCGGGAACUCACGGUGGAGCGGUGAAAUGCGUUGAGAUCGUGAGGAACGCCCGCGGCGAAAGCGCGGUCCUGGGCCCCACCUGACGCUGAGACGCGAAAGCCAGGGGAGCGAACGGGAUUAGAUACCCCGGUAGUCCUGGUCCGUAAACGAUGGGCACUGGGUAGGGGGACCCGCCGUGGUCUCCCUGCCGCAGCGAAGCGUGAAGUGCCCCCGCCUGGGGGAGUAUGGGCCGCAAGGCUGAAACUCAAAAG
rnacentral:rRNA from 1 species